rnacentral:rRNA from 1 species
GGAAUAUUGCACAAUGGGCGAAAGCCUGAUGCAGCAACGCCGCGUGAGGGAUGACGGCCUUCGGGUUGUAAACCUCUUUUAGUAGGGAAGAAGCGAAAGUGACGGUACCUGCAGAAAAAGCACCGGCUAACUACGUGCCAGCAGCCGCGGUAAUACGUAGGGUGCAAGCGUUGUCCGGAAUUAUUGGGCGUAAAGAGCUCGUAGGCGGUUUGUCGCGUCUGCUGUGAAAUCUGGGGGCUCAACCCCCAGCCUGCAGUGGGUACGGGCAGACUAGAGUGCGGUAGGGGAGAUUGGAAUUCCUGGUGUAGCGGUGGAAUGCGCAGAUAUCAGGAGGAACACCGAUGGCGAAGGCAGAUCUCUGGGCCGUAACUGACGCUGAGGAGCGAAAGCAUGGGGAGCGAACAGGAUUAGAUACCCGAG